rnacentral:lncRNA from 1 species
GUUUCCAUGGUGCAGUGAACUCCUAGUUUUGGUCCUCUCCAGUAUACAGAAGUUAUGCCAUGAGGAUGUAAUUCUCUGCUUGUUGUAGGGCAGAUCAGCCCCAUCCAUCUUCAUCAGUGGAUUGGAGCAACCAGUUCAUUAUUACCUUCAGGCUUCAGAAAAGUCCUUUCAGAAAAGUCUUUGGAGCAGAAACCAGUAACUGCUCUCAGCUUUUACACAGGGAAUAUCCUUUAAAGACUGUAUUAAAGGGUACCCAAAAACAAGGACAUAUCUAGAGCUGGCAGAAGGCAGGUUGGCUGCUGGAGUUUCCACCCAGAACACAUUAAGCUGUUGAAACAUCAGUUCAAAAACCGUAAUGACGAAGAAGGAGUUUUUAAAUGAUGGUAACAACAGAAAUACCAUCUCCGGGGUUCCACAAGCUGGCAGUGCAGACGAAUACAUAUAUAAGGGAACAAAGUAACGGGCGGCUAAAUGGCCUUGGCAGUAGUAACUGAAAUGUUGAUGGUGUUCUCAGAAGUGCCAGCAGAGGGCAAUACUAGGCAGAAAAAGAGCCAGCCUGGCCUGCCGGGCACGGGGCACUUCCCGCCUCACCUCCAGGGGCACCCAGAGCCCCGUCAGCCCCACAGCGGAGCCCGGGCAGGGGUGAUAUCCUCUGCGGUCCCAAGGAAUGAAUAGGAAUAAGAUGCAGC